rnacentral:rRNA from 1 species
GACGAACGCUGGCGGCGUGCUUAACACAUGCCAGUCGAACGGAAAGGCCCUGCUUUUGUGGGGUGCUCGAGUGGCGAACGGGUGAGUAACACGUGAGUAACCUGCCCUUGACUUUGGGAUAACUUCAGGAAACUGGGGCUAAUACCGGAUAGGAGCUCCUGCUGCAUGGUGGGGGUUGGAAAGUUUCGGCGGUUGGGGAUGGACUCGCGGCUUAUCAGCUUGUUGGUGGGGUAGUGGCUUACCAAGGCUUUGACGGGUAGCCGGCCUGAGAGGGUGACCGGCCACAUUGGGACUGAGAUACGGCCCAGAGUCCUACGGGAGGCAGCAGUGGGGAAUAUUGCACAAUGGGCGGAAGCCUGAUACAGCAACGCCGCGUGCGGGAUGACGGCCUUCGGGUUGUAAACCGCUUUCGCCUGUGACGAAGCGUGAGUGACGGUAAUGGGUAAAGAAGCACCGGCUAACUACGUG